UCCACGUCGGUAUAAAAAUCCUCGCCAUCGCAAGGGUCACUAUCAGUCGAGUGUCGUUAAACGAUCCAAACGCUUCUUUCGCCGUCGACGUGCAACCAACCAACCCCAAUUAGCCGAAAUGAAAUUCCUGAUCAUGACCCUCUGCCUCGUGGUUCUGGCCUUCGCGCUUGUAUCCGCUUUGCCUGCCGUGAACGACGAAAGCCUCUUUGGAGCUGAUGGAGCCGCCGACGAUACGUUGAACCCCCAGGAUCCACAGGCUAUCCUGCUUAAGAAGCUCUUACUCAAGAAGAAGCUUCUGUUGCUGGGUUAAAUAGACAGUAGGAACCGAGUCGUGCCCAACGGUCGAUAGGCUGCCAGGAGCAGUUUCUUCCAGAGGGAUACAGCUCGGAUCAAGUUUAGCGACAUAAGAAAUGAUUUUUUUUGGUUAUUUUACAAAAAAACGCCUAAUGCCAAGACUAAGUAAUAACGGUUAUUUUUUAUAAUUUUCAACUCGUGUGGUAUUCUUGAGAAUGAGCGCAAAAGAUGUUUCGCUGUUUUCAUUUUCCGCAACAAUGAAACUGCCAGUCAAAUAGAUCGAAUGUACAAGCCAAAUAAAUUAUAAGAUUUUUGAAGGAACGAAA